rnacentral:rRNA from 1 species
CCUACGGGGGGCAGCAGUGGGGAAUAUUGCGCAAUGGGCGAAAGCCUGACGCAGCGACGCCGCGUGAGGGAUGAAGGUCUUCGGAUCGUAAACCUCUGUCAGCAGGGAAGAACGGUCACUGUGCUAAUCAGCAGUGAAUUGACGGUACCUGCAAAGGAAGCACCGGCUAACUCCGUGCCAGCAGCCGCGGUAAUACGGAGGGUGCGAGCGUUAAUCGGAAUUACUGGGCGUAAAGCGCUCGUAGGCGGUAUGUCAAGUCAAGGGUGAAAUCCCCGCGCUCAACGUGGGAACGGCCUUUGAAACUGGCAGACUGGAGUGUGUGAGAGGAUAGUGGAAUUCCAGGUGUAGGAGUGAAAUCCGUAGAUAUCUGGAGGAACAUCAGUGGCGAAGGCGACUAUCUGGCACAUAACUGACGCUGAGGAGCGAAAGCGUGGGUAGCAAACAGGAUUAGAUACCCUAGUAGUC